UGGCGGCGGUAGUUAUGGGCUU
rnacentral:miRNA from 1 species